rnacentral:rRNA from 1 species
AUGGGCAACGCCGUGCCGCGCAACAUGCGCCACGAGGCCACGCCGAAAGCCAGGGCGGCCGGGGCCUCGCGCUCCGGGGCGACGCCGGCCGUACCAUCGAGACGUGUGUUCUCGGCGGCACGCAGGCAUGGCGGGAAGGUAGCGCAGGCCGCCGGGGGUCGACGCGGGGCCGAGGAUCAGCAGGUGGGAGGCGGCGGCCACGGAUCCACCGUGGUGAUGACGGUGAAGGUGGUGGUGACGAGGAAGGAAGCGGAGAAGCUGAUCGCGCGGCUGGAGGAGCAGAGCGCGAGGGAGCGCAAGGCUAGGAUCGCCGAGCUCACGGGCCAGCUCAGGGCGGGGGACGGCGGCGGCGGGAGGAGCACGGCAACGUGCGGGGCCGCGUGGGCGCCGAGGCUCGCCGUGAUACAGGAGAGCUAG